GAAAAUAGGUAUAAAGUAGAUCUAGAAAAUGGACAGAAGAAAAUAGAGAGAAAAUACAUUUUUUCCUUGCAUUUUCUUAAAAGAAAAACAUUAAGAAAUUGGCUAGAAAAUAAUUCUACUUUCAAUAAAUUUUCUAUCUUUUUCCAAAUGGAAAGUUGACAAAAAGUAGACCUAUGAAAUAGAUCUAUUUUCUUUGGUCAGACUUAUGACUUGCAAUGUUUUUUCUUUCUAUUUUCUAGAAGUUAUCUUAAUAUUUUUGUUCUAGGAAAAAAUUUUAUUUUGCUACUUGGGAGAAGGAAAGAAAAAAAAUUAGAAGCUAUUAUAAAUGGCUUACUUUUGUUCACUGUCUUCUUGGCGCUGGAUUUAAAGCCUGAAAUGACAGGUGGAGGAGGAGGACUGAAGGAUAUGACUGGUGGAGGGGUGUUUUGGGUAGAGGUGGUUCCUCAGAAGGAGGAGGGGGUGUUGCGGGAGGCUCUGGGAUUGGAGACGAUGGAGGAGGUGGCGUCUCGCAUAGCUCCAUUUCAACUUCUUCGAUAGUUUCCUCAUUUUCGUUGGCGAGCGGAAGCGGAUAUUCCCACUGAAUGCGACCGGUUUCUAAGUUUCGAUAAUAAUAUCGAUUGAAAGAUCUAAAAGGGAAACCAAAACAAACAAAACAAAUCUUGUGAGAUUAAUCGAAUCAUAAAAAAUAAAGAGAGAUGAAUUUUGCUAUCCAAUUUGAUCGACAAAAGCCUUCCACGUGUCGAGUACCUACUGAGCAUAAUAAUAAUUUCGAAAAUUUUGCAGACCUAACAUUUUGUAUUGUUGAAAAUAGAGUGAAAAAUUUGGAGUGCUUCGAUGAGAACUGUCUAAUGAGAACAUUCUGAUGCCAAAAGAAAUGAUCGCAGCUGAUGAUGACAUAGUAUCCUUUGAAACUUAAAAAUUUUCAUGAGGAAUACCAUUUGUACUUCCAUAGCUUUAUCUCUGGGAUACGAAUUUGUUAUAGCAUUGCUUUAUAUUAUUAGUAAGUCGACAAUCUCCCUCGUUAUCAAUUUUAAUAAUGCAGAUGUUUCCGGCUUGCAUGAGUUGAAUGAGAGAAUUCAUUAUCAUGAGGGGAUUUCAGUGACGAUCAUUUACUUUGAACAGCCCUUCUCCUCAAAGCUGCUACAUGUUUGA
rnacentral:lncRNA from 1 species